GGGGUUGUUUGUUAGUGUUGUAAAAUCUGUUGAGGAUAGCGAGGAAGUGACUCUGAGAAUCAAUACUCUCCCCAUUUGACUUGGUACAGCCCUUAAGAAAGCUUAAAUUAGAGGAUAUUAUACUCAGCUGUCGACAUUUUUGAAGAGUCCGAGCAACAUAUUCGUAGAGUGUGCAGUUUGUCAAGUGGAUCAUAAAAGCUGUUUCUACAUGUUUUUUUUUGGGGGACGAAAGCUGUUUCUACAUGGUUUGUGACAGUUUUAUAUAAUUCCUUGCUUUGGAUAUGAGAUGAUGUGUGAAUCUAUUUUAGGUCAAAAACAUCUUUGUAACUUCACUCACCACAAAAAUUUGACUGCUGCAUGGCCACAGCUUCUCUCUAUUAUUGUUGCCUUUUGUGUUAUGACCCUGUGGAGAAACUAUGGUUGAUUGUAAUUGUAUUUAAUCUCAGACGAAAACUCUUAGCGCCCAGCGAAAAUGCCCGUGGAAUAAAUCUGAAUUUUUUAGCUAUACUUGGUUAGA